GACGAACGCUGGCGGCGUGCUUAACACAUGCAAGUCGAACGCUGAACCCGCUUCGGUGGGGGAUGAGUGGCGAACGGGUGAGUAACACGUGGGCAACCUGCCCCCGGCUCUGGGAUAACUCCAAGAAAUUGGGGCUAAUACCGGAUGUGACCGCUGGCCGCAUGGUCUGGUGGUGGAAAGGGUUUCCGGCUGGGGAUGGGCCCGCGGCCUAUCAGCUUGUUGGUGGGGUAGUGGCCUACCAAGGCGACGACGGGUAGCCGGCCUGAGAGGGUGACCGGCCACACUGGGACUGAGACACGGCCCAGACUCCUACGGGAGGCAGCAGUGGGGAAUAUUGCGCAAUGGGCGGAAGCUUGACGCAGCGACGCCGCGUGGGGGAUGACGGCCUUCGGGUUGUAAACCUCUUUCAGCAGGGACGAAGCGCAAGUGACGGUACCUGCAGAAGAAGCACCGGCCAACUACGUG
rnacentral:rRNA from 1 species